rnacentral:rRNA from 1 species
ACUCAAAUGAAUUGACGGGGACCCGCACAAGCGGUGGAUGAUGUGGUUUAAUUCGAUGCAACGCGAAAAACCUUACCUACCCUUGACAUGCCAGGAAUUCCAUAGAGAUAUGGAAGUGCUCGAAAGAGAGCCUGGGCACAGGUGCUGCAUGGCCGUCGUCAGCUCGUGUCGUGAGAUGUUGGGUUAAGUCCCGCAACGAGCGCAACCCUUGUCAUUAGUUGCUACGAAAGGGCACUCUAAUGAGACUGCCGGUGACAAACCGGAGGAAGGUGGGGAUGACGUCAGGUCCUCAUGGCCCUUAUGGGUAGGGCUACACACGUCAUACAAUGGCCGGUACAGAGGGCUGCCAACCCGCGAGGGGGAGCUAAUCCCAGAAAACCGGUCGUAGUCCGGAUUGCAGUCUGCAACUCGACUGCAUGAAGUCGGAAUCGCUAGUAAUCGCGGAUCAGCUUGCCGCGGUGAAUACGUUCCCGGGUCUUGUACACACCGCCCGU